rnacentral:rRNA from 1 species
AGCAGCCGCGGUAAUUCCAGCUCCAAUAGCGUAUAUUAAAGUUGCUGCAGUUAAAAAGCUCGUAGUUGAAUUUCGGGACUAAUAUAUCGGUCGUGCCUCGGUACGUACUGGUAUUUUUGGUUUCUCCCUUCUGACGAACCUUGAUGUCAUUARUUUGGUGUCUUGGGAAAUCAGGACUGUUACUUUGAAAAAAUUAGAGUGUUUAAAGCAGGCUCACGCUUGAAUACAUUAGCAUGGAAUAAUGAAAUAGGACGUUUGAUUCUAUUUUGUUGGUUUCUAGGAUCGACGUAAUGAUUAAUAGGGAUAGUUGGGGGCAUUAGUAUUCAAUUGUCAGAGGUGAAAUUCUUGGAUUUAUUGAAGACUAACUACUGCGAAAGCAUUUGCCAAGGAUGUUUUCAUUAAUCAAGAACGAAAGUUAGGGGAUCGAAGACGAUCAGAUACCGUCGUAGUCUUAACCAUAAACUAUGCCGACUAGGGAUCGGA